rnacentral:sRNA from 1 species
AUUCUGUGGCAGUCAGACAGCUCAUCAGGAAUCAGUACUAAGAGAGAUGUUGAUGGACGCUCCAAAGAUGUCAAACCUGAACUCAGUUCAAGAGAAGAGAAGAGAGCUACAGAAAGUGAAAGAGAGAAGAGAGCAGCAGA